UACGUAGGGUGCAAGCGUUGUCCGGAAUUAUUGGGCGUAAAGGGCGCGUAGGCGGCCAUUCAAGUGACGGGUGAAAGCCCUCGGCUUAACCGAGGAACUGCCUGUCAGACUGGAUGGCUUGAGACCGGGAGAGGUGAGUGGAAUUCCCAGUGUAGCGGUGAAAUGCGUAGAUAUUGGGAGGAACACCAGUGGCGAAGGCGGCUCACUGGACCGGAACUGACGCUGAGGCGCGAAAGCGGGGGGAGCAAACAGG
rnacentral:rRNA from 1 species